rnacentral:rRNA from 1 species
GAUGAACGCUGGCGGCGUGCCUAAUACAUGCAAGUCGAGCGAACUGAUUAGAAGCUUGCUUCUAUGACGUUAGCGGCGGACGGGUGAGUAACACGUGGGCAACCUGCCUGUAAGACUGGGAUAACUUCGGGAAACCGAAGCUAAUACCGGAUAGGAUCUUCUCCUUCAUGGGCGAUGAUUGAAAGAUGGUUUCGGCUAUCACUUGCAGAUGGGCCCGCGGUGCAUUAGCUAGUUGGUGAGGUAACGGCUCACCAAGGCAACGAUGCAUAGCCGACCUGAGAGGGUGAUCGGCCACACUGGGACUGAGACACGGCCCAGACUCCUACGGGAGGCAGCAGUAGGGAAUCUUCCGCAAUGGACGAAAGUCUGACGGAGCAACGCCGCGUGAGUGAUGAAGGCUUCGGGUCGUAAAACUCUGUUGUUAGGGAAGAACAAGUACAAGAGUAACUGCUCGUACCUUGACGGUACCUAACCAGAAAGCCACGGCUAACUACGUGCCAGCCGCCGCAGUAAUAC